AAGACAUUAGUAAAAUGUAUAUUACAUCACCUUGUCAAGGUGAAACUGUGGGUUAAACUCCCGCAUGUCUUA
rnacentral:tRNA from 5 species